rnacentral:pre_miRNA from 1 species
GGUCCAGAUCUGAACUAGAGUAAAUUAGUAGGUUCAGCUGACCCUACUGACCUACUAUACUUCAUGUUUGUACCC